UGUGGCUCUGGACAGAUGGAUAUCACAUCUUGACUGCUUCUGGGAUGUUCCAAAGUCUUCAGUUCAGAAGCCCCCUGAGCCCAGGGCUGCGUGCUACACCGAAAUGUUCAAUCCUGCAUUUGAAUAAGCUGAAUCAAGCCAGCCAUACUGCUAAACAUAUGCAUGGAGGCUUCUUACAUAAACGAAUGUUGCCCUGAAGCACUUGUAGUGCAGUUGUUACUGCCUUGUGUUAAUGGAGAAGGACCCCAAAGAGAAUGGAGUGUAAGCCCUGCCCGUCGUGCGGGAGCCCAGCAGAUGGAGCAGUGUUCCUGUGCAUGAGGCAGUGCGGGGCUGCAUCCAGAGCUGCACUGUGCAGUCGAGCCGAUCUCCCCCUGAGCAUCUGUGAAGCAUGGAGUAAAAGUGGUGGAACUGAGCUCUGCUGCUGUGAAAGCACAGCCCGGCCGGGUUAUGUGCUGAGGGCUCUGUCUGCCCGGUUAAGGGCCAUGAAUCUCAGCUGAUGUACUCAGAGCACCAACAGACAACGUUAAUGGUCGAGAUUAUAUCUGCACAAAAAGAAUGAAAUGUGG
rnacentral:lncRNA from 1 species